UGUGAACAAAGGCUCGCGGAAUUUUGUGUUUUAUGUAAAUAGAUCAGAAUUCAUUUUUAUUGCCGGAGAUUUUCAUAACCGGGGAAAACAAAAUGACUAACCCGAUCUUCCCAUCCUUGAAAGAAUUUGCUUUGUAUGCUGCUGAUUUGAGAAGAAAUAAUUAUGAACCAAGGUUUAUCAAGAUUCUACUGAAACAAGCAUGGUCGUUGAUAAGUGAUAAUGAAAUAAAAAGCUGGUCAUCUCAAACUGGAAUGCCUAUUGUACACCCAUCUUAACCUACCAG